UGGGGAAUCUUGCACAAUGGGGGCAACCCUGAUGCAGCGACGCCGCGUGAGCGAUGAAGCCCUUCGGGGCGUAAAGCUCUUUCGACCGGAACGAUAAUGACGGUACCGGGAGAAGAAGCUGCGGCUAACUACGUGCCGGCAGCCGCGGUAAUACGUAGGCAGCAAGCGUUGUUCGGAGUUACUGGGUGUAAAGAGUGCGUAGGCGGUUUUCUAAGUUCGGUGUGAAAUCUCCCGGCUUAACUGGGAGGGUGCGCCGAAGACUGGGAAGCUGGAGUGUGGGAAAGGCAGGCGGAAUUCCUGGUGUAGCGGUGAAAUGCGUAGAUAUCAGGAGGAACACCGGCGGUGUAGACGGCUUGCUAGACCAUAACUGACGCUGAGGCACGAAAGCGUGGGUAGCAAACG
rnacentral:rRNA from 1 species